rnacentral:tmRNA from 1 species
GGGGGCGCCUUGGUUUCGACGGGGCACCGACCCGGACAGGAGCAUGCGGCAGGGGUUACGGGCUGCCUUAAUAACCGUGACAGGUAUAUAAAUGCCAAAGCGAAAAGCAACGUGAUCGCUUUCCGUCCGCGCACCAGCGCUGGCGCUUACGCGAUGGCUGCCUAACUAGAACCUUCCCCUUGGUUGGGGAACUCUAGCUAACAGCUCCGGAAUACACUCUCUACUGUGUGGCGUGGUAGUGGGUUCCGGCCAAAUCUAAGCCACUCUAGGGCCUAGCGCGCCAAGCGUGUAACCCGAAACCUAUCUUGGCAACCUUGAGUAGGGGCGCACCCAGCCCAGCUCAUUGUACUUUCUGGGUGCUGAGCAUGGAGACCCUUACGGCGACGCGUUCCGGACGUGGGUUCGACUCCCACCGCCUCCACCA